GGAGAGUUGUCCGAGUGGUUGAAGGAGCACGACUGGAAAUCGUGUGUGCGGUGUUGAACCGUACCCAGGGUUCGAAUCCCUGACUCUCCGCCA
rnacentral:tRNA from 3 species